GACGAACGCUUGCGGCGUGCUUAACACAUGCAAGUCGAACGGAAAGGCCCUGCUUUUGUGGGGUGCUCGAGUGGCGAACGGGUGAGUAACACGUGAGUAACCUGCCCUUGACUUUGGGAUAACUUCAGGAAACUGGGGCUAAUACCGGAUAGGAGCUCCUGCUGCAUGGUGGGGGUUGGAAAGUUUCGGCGGUUGGGGAUGGACUCGCGGCUUAUCAGCUUGUUGGUGGGGUAGUGGCUUACCAAGGCUUUGACGGGUAGCCGGCCUGAGAGGGUGACCGGCCACAUUGGGACUGAGAUACGGCCCAGACUCCUACGGGAGGCAGCAGUGGGGAAUAUUGCACAAUGGGCGGAAGCCUGAUGCAGCAACGCCGCGUGCGGGAUGACGGCCUUCGGGUUGUAAACCGCUUUCGCCUGUGACGAAGCGUGAGUGACGGUAAUGGGUAAAGAAGCACCGGCUAACUACGUGCCAGCAGCCGCGGUGAUACGUAGGGUGCGAGCGUUGUCCGGAUUUAUUGGGCGUAAAGGGCUCGUAGGUGGUUGAUCGCGUCGGAAGUGUAAUCUUGGGGCUUAACCCUGAGCGUGCUUUCGAUACGGGUUGACUUGAGGAAGGUAGGGGAGAAUGGAAUUCCUGGUGGAGCGGUGGAAUGCGCAGAUAUCAGGAGGAACACCAGUGGCGAAGGCGGUUCUCUGGGCCUUUCCUGACGCUGAGGAGCGAAAGCGUGGGGAGCGAACAGGCUUAGAUACCCUGGUAGUCCACGCUGUAAACGGUGGGUACUAGGUGUGGGGUCCAUUCCACGGGUUCCGUGCCGUAGCUAACGCUUUAAGUACCCCGCCUGGGGAGUACGGCCGCAAGGCUAAAACUCAAAGGAAUUGACGGGGCCCCGCACAAGCGGCGGAGCAUGCGGAUUAAUUCGAUGCAACGCGUAGAACCUUACCUGGGUUUGACAUGGAUCGGGAGUGCUCAGAGAUGGGUGUGCCUCUUUUGGGGUCGGUUCACAGGUGGUGCAUGGCUGUCGUCAGCUCGUGUCGUGAGAUGUUGGGUUAAGUCCCGCAACGAGCGCAACCCUUGUUCACUGUUGCCAGCACGUUAUGGUGGGGACUCAGUGGAGACCGCCGGGGUCAACUCGGGGGAAGGUGGGGAUGACGUCAAGUCAUCAUGCCCCUUAUGUCCAGGGCUUCACGCAUGCUACAAUGGCUGGUACAGAGAGUGGCGAGCCUGUGAGGGUGAGCGAAUCUCGGAAAGCCGGUCUCAGUUCGGAUUGGGGUCUGCAACUCGACCUCAUGAAGUCGGAGUCGCUAGUAAUCGCAGAUCAGCAACGCUGCGGUGAAUACGUUCCCGGG
rnacentral:rRNA from 1 species